UACAGAGGGUGCAAGCGUUAAUCGGAAUUACUGGGCGUAAAGCGCGCGUAGGCGGUUUAUUAAGUCGGAUGUGAAAUCCCUGGGCUCAACCUAGGCACUGCAUCCGAUACUGGUAGACUAGAGUGUGGGAGAGGAAGGUAGAAUUCCAGGUGUAGCGGUGAAAUGCGUAGAGAUCUGGAGGAAUACCGAUGGCGAAGGCAGCCUUCUGGCCUGACACUGACGCUGAGGUGCGAAAGCAUGGGGAGCAAACAGGAUUAGAUACCCUGGUAGUCCAUGCUGUAAACGAUGUCAACUAGCCGUUGGGGUCUUUAAGACUUUAGUGGCGUAGCUAACGCGAUAAGUUGACCGCCUGGGGAGUACGGUCGCAAGACUAAA
rnacentral:rRNA from 1 species